CGAGUCGGCCGGGCGGCCGCGGCACGAAAGUGACGAGGAACGUCCGGGCUCCACAGGGAAGGGUGAUGGCUAACGGCCACCCGGGGUGACCCGCGGGAAAGUGCCACAGAAAACAAACCGCCCACGUGGUAAGGGUGAAAAGGUGAGGUAAGAGCUCACCAGCGGCGCGGGUGACCGCGUCGGCUAGGUAAACCCCACCCGGAGCAAGACCAAACAGCAGGUGCUUGACGGUGUCCCGCCGGAGCCUGCGGGUAGGUUGCUAGAUCCGGUCGGCAACGGCCGGGGUAGAUGGAUGGUCGCCGCCGCAUUGCGGUAACAGAACCCGGCGUAUAGGCCGACUCGUCUC
rfam:Actinomyces hordeovulneris strain DSM 20732 Scaffold3, whole genome shotgun sequence.